GAUGAACGCUGGCGGCGUGCCUAAUACAUGCAAGUCGAGCGAACAGACGAGGAGCUUGCUCCUCUGAUGUUAGCGGCGGACGGGUGAGUAACACGUGGAUAACCUACCUAUAAGACUGGGAUAACUUCGGGAAACCGGAGCUAAUACCGGAUAACAUGUUGAACCGCAUGGUUCAACAGUGAAAGACGGUCUUGCUGUCACUUAUAGAUGGAUCCGCGCCGCAUUAGCUAGUUGGUAAGGUAACGGCUUACCAAGGCAACGAUGCGUAGCCGACCUGAGAGGGUGAUCGGCCACACUGGAACUGAGACACGGUCCAGACUCCUACGGGAGGCAGCAGUAGGGAAUCGUCCGCAAUGGGCGAAAGCCUGACGGAGCAACGCCGCGUGAGUGAAGAAGGUCUUCGGAUCGUAAAACUCUGUUAUUAGGGAAGAACAAAUGUGUAAGUAACUAUGCACGUCUUGACGGUACCUAAUCAGAAGGCCACGGCUAACUACGUG
rnacentral:rRNA from 1 species